rnacentral:miRNA from 1 species
GCCGGACAUCUCCCCCACAAGGGGGGAGAUCGGCUGGGGGCCGCCUGUUGCCCCUAUCAAACGCGGCAGCAGACCGACGCCGCGUGGCUCGCGAUCAAGAUUUUGUGGGGCCGGUGCAUCUUGCCGAUCUCCCCCCUUGAGGGGGAGAUGUCCGGC